rnacentral:rRNA from 1 species
GAUGAACGCUGGCGGCGUGCCUAAUACAUGCAAGUCGAACGAAACUUCUUUAUCACCGAGUGCUUGCACUCACCGAUAAAGAGUUGAGUGGCGAACGGGUGAGUAACACGUGGGCAACCUGCCCAAAAGAGGGGGAUAACACUUGGAAACAGGUGCUAAUACCGCAUAACCAUCGUUACCGCAUGGUAACUAUGUAAAAGGUGGCUAUACUACCGCUUUUGGCUGGGCCCGCGGCGCAUUAGCUAGUUGGUAGGGUAAAGGCUUACCAAGGCAAUGAUGCGUGGCCGAAUGAGAGGUUGAUCGGCCACAUUGGAACUGAGACACGGCCCAAACUCCUACGGGAGGCAGCAGUAGGGAAUCUUCCACAAAGGGCGAAAGCCUGAUGGAGCAACGCCGCGUGGGUGAAGAAGGUCUUCGGAUCGUAAAACCCUGUUGUUAGGGAAGAAAGUGCGUGAGAGUAACUGUUCACGUUUCGACGGUAUCUAACCAGAAAGCCACGGCUAACUACGUG